rnacentral:lncRNA from 1 species
UGACUUAUUACUACCCCUUUGAAUACGAUUAAUCCAGCAUGGGCUACAUGAGCUCUUAGUAGUUUACUGGAUAAAUUAAUAAGUCGAGCAUUCCCGGCCCACCAAGUAAAACUAGUGGUUUCUUGGUCACGACCAGCUACAACUAAAGUUCCAUUAAAGAACGUUUCCACAUGGUAGAACCUCCUCAGGGAAUAGAAGUUUUUCAUGAGGCUGAUCUUGAGCUGCCAUCCAAGCAUGAAUACCUUCAUUUAAUAGAAUAUUUUUGGUGUAGAAAGUCUCAAAUUCAAGAUCUUUCGUUGCGCGAAUUUCCUGAGAAACAAAGUCAUAGGCACUUAGGUUCAGG